UUUUGAAAUUUUGAAAUUGAUUGAAAAAGAAAAUUGACUUAUUAAAAAAAGAACAAUGUCUUAGAGAAGCGGAAGUCGGCGGGCGCGUUUUGACUUCUCCCAUCACCAUCUUCAUCCACCACCCCCAUCAUCCAUUAAUGUCUUUGUCAGCCCGUAGCUACUUAC